UCCAUUUAUUAAGUGUAAUUUCAAGUGUCU
rnacentral:piRNA from 1 species